rnacentral:lncRNA from 1 species
UUGGCUAUGACAGUUUCCCAGACUUUCCUUGUUUCUGAUGACUUUGACAGUUUUCAGGAGUACUGGUUGGGUCAGGAUGCAAAGCCAGAAUGCGAGCAGUGACCACCACACUUGACAAAUCCGUUGUUGCACACAUUUGUACUCUUCAAUCAACAAAACCUGAUGCAAAAAACAGAAAAGGGGGAGAUGUACAUGCAUUUUCCCUCACUGCAAAAAAAACACAACUUGUUUAACUACAGGUGUGUUCCUGGUGGUCUUUGAAUGAAGACAUUGACAGAAAGUAACAUAGCAUGCUGGUUAAAGACUGUUUUUAUUCGAAUCCUGGCUUUGCCAAUCAACAGCUGCAUAAAUUAAACUCUCGACCUCAGCUCCCUUAUUUGUAAAACAAGAAUAACAAAAAGACAUUUUUAUAAGGUUGGGUUGAAGGUUAAAUGAAAUAACAGAAGAUUAUCUCUUCACUAAUUUUAGCUGUAGAAAACAGAAGCCAAUCGAAAGAGCUCCCAGUCCAAAGCUGGAACAACUUGAACAACAAAAUAAAUAAUGUAGCAUUGGAUUACAAACCAACCAUAAAACAAAUAUCCAUGAGUCUAUACUGAUGUCAAUAAAUGAAUAAAUGUGGGAAAAUAGACAAAUCUCCUUUCUCAUACAGAAGGAUUCCAAAUAAUUUGUGUAGAUAUUUCACUUUUAACUUGUUCUGUGGCUACGCAUUAAGUCAGGAUUUCCUUUCUUGCAUAAGGAGGACAAGG